rnacentral:lncRNA from 1 species
UUUGAAAAUCAAAUCAAAUAUCUUCUCCCUCCCCUUGUUCGCACAUUUGCCAGAUAUCCAAAAUCCAAACCCAAAAUUCUUCUUCAAAUCCUUGGUACAAGUCCCAAAAAAAUCCAAAAUCCCACCCCCCUUUUUCGUUCUUGAAAAUAUUUUACCGGUCGGAAAACGGUGUCUCCGGUGAUGGGUAGGGUUUCAAUCGAUCUGUGGAGGUGGUGGCGGAGAUGUGGUAGUGGAGGUGGUGGCGGAGAUGUGGUGGUGGCGGGUAGAUUUUCCGUCAACGAUGCCGAAGCACACAACGGCGAUUGUUGUUAGGUGUUUCUGGUGGUAGUGCUUCCGGUAAGACGACGGUUUGCGACAUGAUUAUUCAACAGCUUCAUAAUCAUCGUGUUGUUCUUGAUUGUGAGAUGUGGGUAGAGAGUGGGCUGUGUUUGAGAGAAGAGGUGAGAAGAGGUGGGUUUAUGUCUGCGUAGGGAAGAGGUGGGGAAGAGGUAAAAGGUGAGAAGUGCUUCUGGAAAACAAACAGGCUGCAGGACCCAAAGGUCUGCGCGUGUCUGCGCGACGCAGACAUAAGUGGCCAGAAGUGCUUCUGGCCAAAAAACAAACAACACCAUAGUCUUACGUUUAAAACAUGAGGAAAAAAUCAAUUAUGAGGAAAAAAAUAAAUUUGAUUGUACGUUAUUAACUCAUUAUUAUACCCAGUUUCCAUUUCUUUGUUAUUUCUUUGUUGGUCAAUGUCUAAUAAUAAACAAAUGGUAAUUAC